GAGAACAAGUUGGACGAGAAGGACGAGGAUUUGUGCUCGGUAUAACACGAGGUGGUUAGCAGUGGUCGUUGAAGAUGGUUGACGGUGGUUGGAGGUGGUCGAGCUGGACCAGGAGGAGGACGAGAAAGACGAGGAGAACAAGGUGGACGAGGAGGACGAGGAUUUGUGCUGGGU
rnacentral:lncRNA from 1 species